rnacentral:rRNA from 1 species
GAUGAACGCUGGCGGCGUGCCUAAUACAUGCAAGUCGAGCGAACAGACGAGGAGCUUGCUCCUCUGACGUUAGCGGCGGACGGGUGAGUAACACGUGGAUAACCUACCUAUAAGACUGGGAUAACUUCGGGAAACCGGAGCUAAUACCGGAUAAUAUAUUGCACCGCAUGGUUCAAUAGUGAAAGACGGUUUUGCUGUCACUUAUAGAUGGAUCCGCGCCGCAUUAGCUAGUUGGUAAGGUAACGGCUUACCAAGGCAACGAUGCGUAGCCGACCUGAGAGGGUGAUCGGCCACACUGGAACUGAGACACGGUCAAGACUCCUACGGGAGGCAGCAGUAGGGAAUCUUACGCAAUGGGCGAAAGCCUGACGGAGCAACGCCGCGUGAGUGAUGAAGGUCUUCGGAUCGUAAAACUCUGUUAUUAGGGAAGAACAAAUGUGUAAGUAACUAUGCACGUCUUGACGGUACCUAAUCAGAAAGCCACGGCUAACUACGUG